rnacentral:rRNA from 1 species
CACGUAGGGGGCGAGCGUUGUCCGGAUUUAUUGGGCGUAAAGAGCUCGUAGGCGGCUCGGUAAGUCAGGUGUGAAAACUCUAGGCUCAACCUAGAGACGCCACCUGAUACUGCCGUGGCUAGAGUCCGGUAGGGGAGCAUGGAAUUCCUGGUGUAGCGGUGAAAUGCGCAGAUAUCAGGAGGAACACCAGUGGCGAAGGCGGUGCUCUGGGCCGGAACUGACACUGAGAAGCGAAAGCAUGGGGAGCGAACAGG